UGGGGAAUAUUGGACAAUGGGGGCAACCCCCAUCCAGCAAUGCCGCGUGUGUGAAGAAGGCCUUCGGGUUGUAAAGCACUUUCAGUGGGGACAAACAAGGCGGAGCUAACACCUCCGUCCCUGAUGGUACCCAAAGAAGAAGCACCGGCUAACUCUGUGCCAGCAGCCGCGGUAAUACGGAGGGUGCAAGCGUUGUUCGGAUUUACUGGGCGUAAAGGGCGUGUAGGCGGAUAUGCAAGCUGAAGGUGAAAGCCCUGGGCUCAACCCAGGAAUUGCUUCCAGAACUGUAUGUCUAGAGAAAGUCAGAGGCAGGUGGAAUUCCAGGUGUAGAGGUGAAAUUCGUAGAGAUCUGGAGGAACACCGGCGGCGAAGGCGGCCUGCUGGGGCUUUUCUGACGCUGAGGCGCGAAAGCGUGGGGAGCAAACAGGAUUAGAUACCCUGGUAGUCCACGCUGUAAACGAUGAGCACUCGAUGUGCGAGGUACGACCCCUCGCGUGUCACAGCUAACGCAUUAAGUGCUCCGCCUGGGGACUACGGUCGCAAGACUA
rnacentral:rRNA from 1 species